CAGAGUUCAUGCCCCUCGGGGCAUGUGCACGUCUCUGCCCGUUAAUCCCAACCCACCCCUGUGAACCGACCGUGUGGGGCGCUCUGUAACGGAGCCGUCCCAUGCUUUAUCAUAAACCCUGUAUGUCAUCAGAAUGUAAAUCUAUAUCCUCGCCUUAAAACCGCGUCGGUAAAAAAAUUAAUA
rnacentral:misc_RNA from 1 species